GGGUGAAUGGAGGGGUGAAGGUUUCGGGAAUCAAACCAAAUUCGAGAGCAGAAUUUACGAAAAUCUUAUACGAGUUCAAAUUAUGGCUUAGUAGCCUCACAGAAGAUAAAAAGCAUGCCGCAACAGUUUUUUUGUACUAUAAAAAGACCAAGUGAACUCCUAUAAGAUGCUUCUCAAUCUGAUCAUCUCGCCAACAUCACAAAGCUUGAUGAUACUUGGUCACUUCACUGAGUUUUAGAAGCUGCUGCACAGAAAAGCUGAAGCAUUCCUUUCAAAUGACUACUAUGAGUCACACCUUGCAUGGAUGGACUUGUCUUCAUUUGAAGCUUUCAUCGAGAUGAUAAAGCCACAGCUGAUCUGAAACUCUUUUGGUGACAAUCUAAAGGUACAUUCCCCUCUUUUUGCUGCUUUGAUCUAUAAGUGUUCCAAUUACUUACAUUUUCCAUUUUCUCUAAGAUCAUUUUUCAUUUUCACUUUCCAAUAGUUAUUGGUAAACAAUCUCCCGCUUGACAGUGUAUACAAAUCAAAAGAUGUGCUGUUACUCCUAUUCGUGUCUUUCAGUGACAAGAACUGGUCGUUGGUCGGAUUUCACUGAGAAUAAACAAAGAUUUGAGAGCAGAAGUUCAAACUGAAGAUUAGCAGCUGCGUAAGAGCCAUGGGAGUCUUCAGAACACUGGUGGAAAAGGUUACCAUCUCACUCUAUCAUUCUUGAUUAAAAAUAAUUUCUUGCAUGGAAAAGGAGAAGAAGCUGUCAUCGUUGGUAAUGUUUAGGUAGAUUUGGCCGUAUGUUUCAUUUAUUUUUUACUACAGGACAGAUCAAUAUAUAUUCAUGACUUAAUUAAGAUGAACUUGAGUACUGUGAACUUGAGGACGCAUGCAUAGCUGCAUAUCCAUGUUUUUAGCCUGAUAGUUCAGCUUUAAACCUUUCUCGAACUUGGUCGUUUUAAUGUUUUAGUCACUACACCAAUAUCGCUCUUUCGUAUACAUUAACGUAAGAACAUCGUUAAUUUCUAAUUGGUUUGGCAUUACAGAACACACGACAUAAUAUAUUGAAGUUAUGAGUUUACACACAAAACAUUAAAAGAGAUUGAAAAGAUAAAGUUUGAGAACACCGAGAAGCCGUAAAAUGAAAAAGAAGAGAAAAACAUUAGUAGAUGGAGUAAGCUUCUUACAACUACAAUAAAUUAAUUCUUCUGGUAUACCAAGUGCUGCUUUUAUAUUUUAAUUUUUUUCGAAAGAGCGUCUAUGUUUAUGUUUCAUAGUUUCUUACAAAAUAUAAAAAAAAUGAUUUUUCAUUCAGCUUUCUAUAAACCAAGCUUUCCACCAUGAAAAAGAAAAAAAUAAUAAAUAACUACACUAAUGAUUAAAAUACAUAUUAUUUCUAAUUCAGUUUUUCUUCUAUAUUGAGUAAGUGUCAACGGCAGUAUACGAUUGUGAUUUUUUUCUAUUAACUAUAUAAACACAUCACUACAUGAAUAAAAUAAUCACUACAUGAAUAAAAUAAUAAUUCUUCUGGUAUACCAAAUGCUGCUUUUAUUUUUUAAUUUUUUCGAUAGAGCAUCUACUUUUAUGUUUCAUAGUUUCUUACAAAAUAUAUUAAAAAAAAGAUUAUUCAUCCAGCUUCCUGUAAACCAAACUUUCCACCAUGGAAAAGAAAAAAUAAUAAUAAAUAACUAUAAUAAUGAUUAAAAUACAUAUUUUUUCUUCAGUUUUUCUUCUAAGCGACAUUAUACGAUUGUGAUUUUUUCCUAUUAACCAUGUAAACACAUCACUACAUGAAUAAAAUAAUUAAAAUGUGCAUUGUGAGACCAAAUAUUUAACAAUAAUUUUUUUACAAACUACAUCAACAUAAAUUCAAAGCUCAACUUAUAAAAUAAAUAUCCCGCCGUGAAAAUAUUCUACUCCCAAAAAACUUUAAAACCAUAACAUAAAAUACAUGCAAAUAAACAUAAACAAUAAUAUAGUAAUAUAAAUCACAAAAAAAUCAGAUCUCGCGCGUAGCAUGGACCGACCCUAGUAUAUAUAUAUAUAUAUAUAUAUAUAUAUAUGCACAUUGUAACAUUUGUCAUGUAUCAGAGCUUUCAUUCCCAAUCUUGAUAGAAUCAAUUCAUUUUAUUAUUUUUGUUGACCUUAUCUCCUUUAAUUUAUGUUUAUUGAUUUUUCUAUUUUUAGUUUUAUUAGUUUUGAUCCCUGUUCUGAAACGCGGUAGGCGCUAGUCGGGCGGUCGGGUUGGGCCUAGCGCCUAAAGAAAAAAUCGGGGAUUAAUCGGAAAUUAUGCGGGGCGGAAUUUUUAGAUGGUUUACUAUGUUAUAAAACAUGUUAAUCUUUAAUUGUGUAUAACAUUAAUACAUUUUCAUGUUUAUGAUUGUAUAAAACACACAAAUAUAAUAUAUAAAUUUAAUAUAGUGUAAUUUUCAUCAAAAUUAUGAAUAUAAAUGAUAUUUAUAAAAUUUUAGAUCAAAUAAACAAAUAAAAAUAUUAUUAAAACUAAAAAAAAAAUUAAAAAAAAAAAUUAGGCUGCCGCCUAGGCGGCUAGGCGGUCAUUUAGGCGGCUAGGCGGUCAUUUAGGCGGUCUAGGCGGAAAAAAUCGGAUAUCCGAUUUUUUAAACCGAUUUGGCAUAAAUCGGGGCGGAAAAGUGACGCGUAGCGCCUCGCCGAUUUUUAGAACAGGGGUUUUGAUUAAACAAAAAAAAGUACGACGUGAACAUUUUUGAUAGGCUGUUUUGAAAAUCUUGGUUACUGUUUGACCAUGUUACAUGAGUGUACUUCGUUUUUCCAUUAGUAAAGGUGAUCAAUUGAUUUCACUGAUUUUUUUAUAAGUGUGAGUUUGAACUUGUGAUCAAACUAUUUAUAGGCUAUGUUCAAAAAUAUAAUAAUUGUAUAUUUAACGAAUUAAUGAUGUAGAUUUAAAAGUUAAUAACUCCAUUUAUAUAUGUCUAAUAGUUUUUUUUAAACAGGCCUUAAAUUUAUAAACAUAUCUAAAGUUUUAAAGUUUUAGAUCCUAAUAUAUAUAUUUUUAAAAUUAAUUUAAUUUUUAAAUUCGGAUCAUUUUUUAAUUCAAAAUUUUAAUAUUAUAUAGGUUAUGGCAUAUACUCAUACAGUUUUACAAAAUGUAAGAAAUACUUUCAAAAAAGCAAGUAGAGCAAAACACAGAAAUUGUGUCUUAAAAGAUGAAAAGACAAAAGAUGAAAAGUUUUAGUUAGUAUCCAUGGUUAACACAAUUGACUUAGAGCAUAAUUAAUAAGAGUUCUUAAGAGUAGGGUUCUUAACGUAAUUUAACGUAAUUUAAUAACCGGUUCUUAACUUUAACAAAGAAAAAGAUUAUGAACCGGUUAUUAAAUACUUAUUUAAGAACCGGUUCUUAACAUUUUUCUUUGUUAAAGUUAAGAACCGGUUAUUAAAUUACGUUAAAAAUUUCAAUCUCUAAGAAUCCCCAUUAAUCAUGAUCCUAGCCAAGCCGACCAUGUCCGUCACGUCUACCACGUGGAUCAUGCUUGUGGAAAAGUAUUAAAAGUAAAUAACACUAAGAUGUUUGUGGGAAAUUAUAUUACUUUUAUAAAUAAUGUUACAGUACACAUACGUUCACAUAAAACUCAUAUAACCAAUUUUUUUUUUUUUGUAACUGGCAUUACAUUUAACCAAAUUUUCUAAAUUAAUAUGAAAAUAUAUGAUAAAUCAAUAUUAUUUUCAACUAAAACAUGCUUCUAAAUCUUUCCAAACUAUUCUUGAUCUUAUGCAUUUUUUUGUUUAUUAAUGUCGUCGAUUAAUUUUGAUCUCCCAACAAUUAAACUUUAUAUAAUACUUGAAUUUAGGUAUACAAUCCAUAUACAAAACUCAUGUUACGUAGAUUACAUAGUUAUCCCUUGCUAGCAUGUCAAGAGUUAGCAAUUCAUAUAUAAUCGCAAUUUACAAAAGACAACGAAUAGACCACAAGCAACCUUUGCAGGUAUCAGAAUAAUAGAAAAUACAUGAAACCACAUGAAGGUAUUGUACCCAUACUAUUAAUCGACAUUCACAAGGAAAUUGAAACUGAUUGCGUACAUAUUGUAUCAAGAAAAAAAAAACAAAUAAAACUUAUUUAAGAAUCACAUUACUGGUUUUCAGUAAUAUGAAGGUGGUGAUGAAAAAUUGUACUUUACAUUAAGAAAAAAUAAGGUGACAGUAGUGGGGAACGGUACAGGGGUAGAGGAAACUUGUAAUCCACCUUCGGGGGAUAGAAAGUAGUAUGAUGGCGGUGAAGAGCCGUAAACAUAUAGUGCUAGAGAAGACGUAUAGUUAAUCUUUGUUGAUGGGAAGGAAUAUGGUGGUGUUGGUGAGAAACUGUAGAUAUAUAGUAUUGGAGGAGAUUUGUAGACUAUCUUUCGUGAUGGAAAAUAGUACGGAGGUAGUAGAAAAUUGUGGAUAUAACAGUAGCGGAGGAGUGUUGUAUUCUACCUUCGGAGAUGGUGAAUAUGAUGGGAGUGGUGGCAAGCUAUGGUUCAUAGGCAGCAACCAGUGUCGCCAUGAUGGUAACGCUUAGAGCGUAAAUGAGAUGGGCUGAAGGCAUGCUAGAGGAAGAUCUCAUAUUUGUGAUUUAUUUUUCUCUACUAACGUUGGUUAAUUUUUUUUGUUUUGGUUGUGUUGUAAGGGAGCACAUGGGUUUAUAUAGCAAUUUUUUUUUUAAAUCCAGCUCUACAAUAUCUUUUUCCCUGUUUUUGACUCCAUCCAGAUAAAUCUUGGAGGCAUGUCUACACGAUCCUAGUAGGAGACGUGCACGAACGUUUAGAGAACGACUUAAAGAAACUUGAUGGUUCCUCUAAAUCGCUUCGUGACAUUUCUUGAAAUUCUCUACAUUUUUCGGAGGGUAUUGACAAAAUAUGAAACUUUAUAGUUUGAAAGUUUUUUUUUU